rnacentral:rRNA from 1 species
UGGGGGAUAUUGCACAAUGGAGGAAACUCUGAUGCAGCAAUGCCGCGUGAGGGAAGACGGUCUUCGGAUUGUAAACCUCUGUCCUUGGUGAAGAUAAUGACGGUAGCCAAGGAGGAAGCUCCGGCUAACUACGUGCCAGCAGCCGCGGUAAUACGUAGGGAGCAAGCGUUGUCCGGAUUUACUGGGUGUAAAGGGUGCGUAGGCGGCUUUUUAAGUCGGGCGUGAAAGCUGUGGGCUUAACCCACAAAUUGCGUUCGAAACUGGAAGGCUUGAGUGAAGGAGAGGUAGGCGGAAUUCCCGGUGUAGCGGUGAAAUGCGUAGAGAUCGGGAGGAACACCAGUGGCGAAGGCGGCCUACUGGGCUUUAACUGACGCUGAGGCACGAAAGCAUGGGUAGCAAACAGGA